GGUAGUAACAAUAAUAAUUAUCAGAAUAUUCAUCAAAAUAACAAUAGAACAGCUGGUGAAUAUAUUUUGGAUAAUUGUUUUCGGGUCCCCAGCAUCGCGCUUCGAUUUUUUUUUCGACGAUCGUAAAGCAUGCAAGUUCGGUCUAAUCCCAGCAGAGAUACAGUUGCGGUCAAAAUAAUAGUAGUGCCGGUGAAGCAACACGUUAUUUCUCAUUAUUUCCUCUAUGCCUUCACAUAUUCAAAUAAUUUUUUCACACAAGUGACGUUAAUUCUUUGCUCUCUAAGAACGUAAAGUUAUUUUCGGUUCUCUCUUCGUUUUACAUUCUUUUUCGGCUUUAAUUGCAAGGAUGCACUUGUUUGACCCAGUCAAAAUAAUAGUAGUGCCAGCUAAAUUGACAAGAAUAAUUAAAUUUAAUCGCUUUUUAGCCAGACUCUUCUUUGAAAUUAGGUACAGAAUAUAUGGGGCGUGGCAAACACUGUAAUGCCGAGAGGCGGUAACUCAUUAAAAAACUGAUUUUUUCUGGAAAGACUUAUGUCAGGGUGCAAAAUAUUAUCGGAUGCUCUUCUACAAUGAUUAGAAAUGCAAUCAAAUAUGAACCAACAAAUGAAACUCGUGGUCGGUUCAAGUUAUUGACCAAAAGGUCAGUAGAUCGCUUAACAAGACAGGCAAGAAGCAAUCCUUUCGGGUCCACUGCAGCCCUAAAAAAAAUCUUGUAAAAUUAAUUUUAGUUUGGAAACAAUAAGAUGUCUCGGAGAUGAAAACCUCAUUUCAAGAAGUCCACGAAAAGUGCCGUUACUAACAAAAAAACAUGCAGCAAGUUAUGCAACAUUCCGUUUGAAGUUUGCAAGAAAGCACUUGAAUUGGCCUUUGGAGAAGUGGAGGAAUAUUUUGUGGUCGGAUGAGUCCAAGAUAGUUUUGUUUGGAGGCCAUGGCUCUCGGGAGUUUGUUAGACGACCACCCUUAUCUGACUUUUUCCCGAAAUAUACAUUAAAAACGGUUAA